rnacentral:sRNA from 1 species
GUGCCAUGGCAGUAUAUAGAAAAAUUGCAUUCCUGCUUACACCACCAGAUCUGUUGUACAAACAUCGUAUGCUAGCAAGCUUUUUAGGCUUCAGCCUCGUCACAAAAAAAAAAUAUGGCGAAAGAAGGCGGAUAUGGAUAUAUGUUGUUACUGGAACAUCCUGAGGAAGUUGUUCGCGUAGGCCAUCGGCUUGACGUCAGGGUGUGGCUGCAAGAUGAAAUCAAGGAAAUAUUUGGUUUUAGUUCUGGAGCUGUGAACCGAAUGUAUGCACCCUUGUUACCCAUCUGUAUCAAAAUCGCAAUUCACAAGAUAACACCGUUAUAAGCUUUCCAUCAUGUUCAAUUUCAUAGCCUUCAUCUUUCACUUCAUGGGAUCGAACAACAAGGUC